UACAUGCAAGUCGAACGAACUUCCGUUAAUUGAUUAUGACGUGCUUGCACUGAAUGAGAUUUUAACACGAAGUGAGUGGCGGACGGGUGAGUAACACGUGGGUAACCUGCCCAGAAGCAGGGGAUAACACCUGGAAACAGAUGCUAAUACCGUAUAACAGAGAAAACCGCCUGGUUUUCUUUUAAAAGAUGGCUCUGCUAUCACUUCUGGAUGGACCCGCGGCGCAUUAGCUAGUUGGUGAGGUAACGGCUCACCAAGGCGAUGAUGCGUAGCCGACCUGAGAGGGUAAUCGGCCACAUUGGGACUGAGACACGGCCCAGACUCCUACGGGAGGCAGCAGUAGGGAAUCUUCCACAAUGGACGCAAGUCUGAUGGAGCAACGCCGCGUGAGUGAAGAAGGGUUUCGGCUCGUAAAGCUCUGUUGUUAAAGAAGAACGUGGGUGAGAGUAACUGUUCACCCAGUGACGGUAUUUAACCAGAAAGCCACGGCUAACUACGUGCCAGCAGCCGCGGUAAUACGUAGGUGGCAAGCGUUAUCCGGAUUUAUUGGGCGUAAAGCGAGCGCAGGCGGUCUUUUAAGUCUAAUGUGAAAGCCUUCGGCUCAACCGAAGAAGUGCAUUGGAAACUGGGAGACUUGAGUGCAGAAGAGGACAGUGGAACUCCAUGUGUAGCGGGAAAUGCGUAGAUAUAUGGAAGAACACCAGUGGCGAAGGCGGCUGUCUGGUCUGUAACUGACGCUGAGGCUCGAAAGCAUGGGUAGCGAACAGGAUUAGAUACCCUGGUAGUCCAUGCCGUAAACGAUGAUUACUAAGUGUUGGAGGGUUUCCGCCCUUCAGUGCUGCAGCUAACGCAUUAAGUAAUCCGCCUGGGGAGUACGACCGCAAGGUUGAAACUCAAAAAAUUGACGGGGGCCCGCACAAGCGGUGGAGCAUGUGGUUUAAUUCGAAGCUACGCGAAGAACCUUACCAGGUCUUACAUCUUCUGCCAACCUAAGAGAUUAGGCGUUCCCUUCGGGGACAGAAUGACAGGUGGUGCAUGGUUGUCGUCAGUCGUGUCGUGAGAUGUUGGGUUAAGUCCCGCAACGAGCGCAACCCUUAUUACUAGUUGCCAGCAUUCAGUUGGGCACUCUAGUGAGACUGCCGGUGACAAACCGGAGGAAGGUGGGGACGACGUCAAAUCAUCAUGCCCCUUAUGACCUGGCUACACACGUGCUACAAUGGAUGGUACAACGAGUCGCGAAACCGCGAGGUUUAGCUAAUCUCUUAAAACCAUUCUCAGUUCGGACUGUAGGCUGCAACUCGCCUACACGAAGUCGGAAUCGCUAGUAAUCGCGGAUCAGCAUGCCGCGGUGAAUACGUUCCCGGGCCUUGUACACACCGCCCGUCACACCAUG
rnacentral:rRNA from 1 species